GUUUCCCCAUCAUUUUGACCAGUGCAAGCUCUUAUUUUGCAGUAAACUUCUCCCCACAUCCAUUUGUUCUCUCCAACCAUGACUUGCCCCCUUAGCCCUCCAGAUUCUCUCACUCACUUUCUUCCUGAAAGAUCCUUGAUGAACCUCUGUGAACCUCUUGUUGGAGCAAAACUCCUCUCUUUUGGGAGAGUUUCAUGGCUUUCCCCUGCAGUUUAGCUCAGCUUGGCAUUUUAUCCAUGUCAGCCCCCCAGCUCUUACAUCUCCUGCACCCUCCACGUGGCUCAUGGAGCUUCUCAAGACAUCCAAAGGCAUUCAAAAAGCAAGUUGUUUUGGUUUUUUUACAGAAUUGAUGGAAAUGACAUCCAGCUCACAGCUGUUCAUGCAGGGGACAUUUGCAGCCUUGAGCUGGAGGGGUGGGGAAGGUGUUGGGAAACCUGAAUUUUGCCUUCCUUUGCUCCAUGGCAAGAUUUCAUUUCAGCCCUCCUUCAGCAGUGACUGGCUCAGAAAUAAGAAAACUGAGAGUGAAAGCCACAGCAGUCACAGGUUGAGGAGCUGCCUGCUUUUCACACACAGAGCUCUGGGAUCUACCCUGAAAUCCCAGCUGCUGGGGAGUUCCCAGCCCUCCUGGGGAAGGAUUCACAGACUCAACCUUGCCCAGCUCUCAGACCUUCUUGUGCAAUCCAUGUCCCAUCGCAGACACGUCUGGGAGAAAUGCGGAGAUUUCCUGAGAGCGCUGCCAUGGAAAUUCCUGAGAUUUCUGCUGUGGAUGGACACGUAGGGAAGGAGGAGGCAGCCAUUUAGGAGGUGCAUUUUCCACAGAAAUAAAUCCUUUCUGC
rnacentral:lncRNA from 1 species